GCGCAUGCACGUGACAUCAUUUUGCGCUUUUGUGCAUGUGUGAGCGGCGAAACCCGGAAGUAACCCUUUCCGGUACUUCUGCGUUGCUGCGGGACGUGACCUGAAAGGACGUAACAUGAAGCGGACGUAACAUGAGGUAUGACUGUAUGCCAGUUUCAGUCUUUCCAGUGACAUCCUUCCCUCCUAAACAAACAAACAAACAAACAUUUUAACUUCUAUAAGCCUGAACUGGUUCUUGAAAUUUGCAGCAAUUAGACUUGAAACAUUGCCUGCUUCCCUUCCCACUCCUGUGGGGUUUUUCUUUUUUUCUUUCUUAACAGGAACACAGAAGCCAAGCGUUAGUUUAGGAUGCGAAGGUGUUGAAGGCUUAAACAGCAGCCACCCACCAAAUCUCGAGAAUUAGGAAACGGAAUUUGCAGCGCCGCACAGGAAGUCAAAGAUCUCCCCCUUGAAACCUCUCCAACUGAUGUUUCUCCCUAGUCGGGUCCCUUCCUUUUCGUAAUCCAAAGGGAUAACCCUGCUGGCACCAUUUAUAUCAGGGGGAGGGGAAAAAACAAAAGAGCCCCAUAGC